rnacentral:rRNA from 1 species
GACGUAGGGAGCGAGCGUUGUCCGGAUUCAUUGGGCGUAAAGAGCGCGCAGGCGGUUUGGUAAGUCGGAUGUGAAAACCCGGGGCUCAACCCCGGGCGUGCAUCUCGAUACUGCCCGACUAGAGGUAGGUAGGGGAGUAUCGGAAUUCCUGGUGUAGGCGGUGAAAUGCGCAGAGUAUCAGGAGGAACACCGGUGGCGAAGGCGGAUCUCUGGGCCUUACCUGACGCUCAGGCGCGAAAGCUAGGGGAGCGAACAGG